GGCGGGAGGGCGUGCUUGGGCUCAUGUCUCAGCGGCUUGGCCUGGGCCUUGGGGCUGCUGCCGUCGGGCCCAUGCUGCAGAUUUCAGAAUUUUUGCCUGGAGACCCAAAUUUCAAAAAGACUUUUGGAGUGACCAGAUGGAGAUAAGGAGAUCUCAGAGAACACUCGGCAUUCAUGUUAGGACGAGCAUGAGAAGCCAACAAGGGAGCCCCGAGCAAUGGUUGGCAGAGUUGGAAGAGAACCAGGAGAAGGAAUCCAUGAGACAGGAAGAGUGCCUCCCCACCCCCUCAGUGAUGUUUAGAAUGAGAAAAUGGUUUCAUUUCAGGGCUGGAUUCUUCUCCAAGGCCACCCUAUGGAUGCCAAAUUGUCAUUGUCCAGUGCCAGCAUACUCUGGGGCCAUCUCUCUACAAAUACAAUCUCUCAACAAAUAUUGAGUAUCUAUGAGGGUCCUACCCCCAGAGCUACACAUGACGGAUAUCACCCAUCUGCUUCCAGAAGGUGGCAGAAUUGGAGAUGAGGAGGAGUGAAGGAAAAUUAUAUUGGAGGGGUCAUUCUCCCAGCUAAACCACAAGGGCUUCUUAGCCUGGGAAAGAGCUUUAUUGGUGGCCCUCACGUGGAGGAUGAGAGCAGCACGACUGGUAGAAAGAACGGCAUCCAAUUGCUAUGGCAACUGGAAUUUUACAAAGAAAUCCCCCUGGCAUAGGCGUGUUUCUCAGACAGACUGGCCUGAUUAUUUCCGUUAUUCCUGCCCCUCUCCUUCUGCUCCUUCCUCCACCUCCCAUUCCUCCUGUGUCUAUUCCCUCCCACCAGACUAUGGGGAAGAGUUCUCCUUUGAGGCAAUUUCUCCCCCAGCCCACAGUAAAAAUCUGACUUUGCGUGAUGGAGGUCCUUUCCCUGCAGCAGGAAAUGUCCCUGUUAUGCAGUAGGAGGCUCUGAUCCUGCUAAGAACCAUAAAGAACCCAUGGCAGGUGAGGUUACCCAGUAACUGCCAAAGAAUCCUGGCACAUACCAGGCCAUUUGUUUUCUUUCUACCAGUGACUUGCUGAAUCACCAAACCUCUCUGAGCUCCCCCCUCUACACCAGAUUAAUGUUUCACUGGAUUACAGGAAAUGUGUAAGAGGUGGAUGAUUCACUUUUGUGUUCAACUGCCUCAAUCUGGCACCAAUCUACCUUCUCAGUUCAAUCUCUGACUCCCCAAUACCUACUCUUGGUUCUGACCAGAUUGUAUUAAUGAUCAUUUCUAAACAUACCCUUUAAUUUCCCA